GUAAGUAUAGUCUAACCAAGAUAUCAGAUUGUGAUUCUGAAGCCAGGGGUUAAAACCCCCUUACUCACC
rnacentral:tRNA from 1 species